CCUACGGGCGGCAGCAGUGGGGAAUAUUGGACAAUGGGCGAAAGCCUGAUCCAGCCAUGCCGCGUGUGUGAAGAAGGCCUUCGGGUUGUAAAGCACUUUCAGUGGGGAAGAAAGCCUUGGGGCUAAUACCCUCGAGGAAGGACAUCACCCACAGAAGAAGCACCGGCUAACUCCGUGCCAGCAGCCGCGGUAAUACGGAGGGUGCGAGCGUUAAUCGGAAUUACUGGGCGUAAAGCGCGCGUAGGCGGUCUGAUAAGCCGGUUGUGAAAGCCCCGGGCUCAACCUGGGAACGGCAUCCGGAACUGUCAGGCUAGAGUGCAGGAGAGGAAGGUAGAAUUCACGGUGUAGCGGUGAAAUGCGUAGAGAUCGGGAGGAAUACCAGUGGCGAAGGCGGCCUUCUGGACUGACACUGACGCUGAGGUGCGAAAGCGUGGGUAGCAAACAGGAUUAGAUACCCCUGUAGUC
rnacentral:rRNA from 1 species